rnacentral:rRNA from 1 species
AUUAGCUAGUUGGUGAGGUAAAGGCUCACCAAGCAACGAUCCGUAGCUGGUCUGAGAGGGAGGAUCAGCCACAUCGGGACUGAGACACGGCCCCGAAACUCCUACGGGAGGCAGCAGUGGGGAAUAUUGGACAAUGGGGGCAACCCCUGAUCCAGCCAUGCCGCGUGUGUGAAGAAGGCCCUCGGGUUGUAAAGCACUUUCAGCGAGGAAGAACGCCUAGCGGUUAAUACCCGCUAGGAAAGACAUCACUCGCAGAAGAAGCACCGGCUAACUCCGUGCCAGCAGCCGCGGUAAUACGGAGGGUGCAAGCGUUAAUCGGAAUUACUGGGCGUAAAGCGCGCGUAGGUGGCUUGAUAAGCCGGUUGUGAAAGCCCCGGGCUCAACCUGGGAACGGCAUCCGGAACUGUCAAGCUAGAGUGCAGGAGAGGAAGGUAGAAUUCCCGGUGUAGCGGUGAAAUGCGUAGAGAUCGGGAGGAAUACCAGUGGCGAAGGCGGCCUUC